GCAGACACAUUCCAGCCAAUCAGCAGCAGACCCUCCCUCCCAGACCCUCCCACCUCCUGGACAGCUCACUAAGAAUGUGAAGCUGCAUUCAAUAGUGAACUGUCCAGGAGGUGGGAGGGUCUGGGAGGGAGGGUCUGCUGCUGAUUGGCUGGAAUGUGUCUG
rnacentral:miRNA from 1 species